rnacentral:tRNA from 1 species
GGAUAGCUCAGUUGGUAGAGCAUAAGACUUUUAAUCUCAGUGUCAUGGGUUUGAGCCCUGUGUUGGGCA